rnacentral:rRNA from 1 species
ACGGAAGGCAGCAGUAGGGAAUAUUGCACAAUGGGGGGAACCCUGAUGCAGCAACGCCACGUGUGGGAAGAAGCAUUUCGGUGUGUAAACCACUGUCGUGAGGGAAUAAUGCUUGAUUUCGGUCAAGUUGAAUGUACCUCGAAAGGAAGCACCGGCACACUCCGUGCCAGCAGCCGCGGUAAUACGAGGGGUGCAAGCGUUGUUCGGAAUCACUGGGCGUAAAGGGAGCGUAGGUGGAGACGCAAGCAGUCUGUACAAGACCGGGGCCCAACCCCGGGCCUGCAGACUGGACUGUGUCUCUUGGAUACUGCAGGGGCAAGCGGAAUUCCUGGUGUAGCGGUGGAAUGCGUAGAGAUCAGGAAGAACACCGAUGGCGAAGGCAGUCUGCUGGGGACUCAUCGACGCUGAGGAUCGAAAGUGCGGGUAGCAAACAGGAUUAGAUACCCUGGUA